rnacentral:misc_RNA from 1 species
GAUGAAGAACGUAGUGAAAUGCGAUAAGUAAUGUGAAUUGCAGAAUUCAGUGAAUCAUCGAAUCUUUGAACGCAUCUUGCGCUCCUUGGUAUUCCUUGGAGCAUGCCUGUUUGAGUAUCAUGAGCAAAUCUCAAAGUCAAUUCCUUUUGUUAAUUCAAUUGGUUUUGCUUUGGACUUGGAGGUCUUGCAGAUUUUCACGGUCUGCUCCUCUUAAAUGCAUUAGCUGGAUCUCAGUAAUUAUGCUUGGUUCCACUCGGCGUGAUAAGUAUCACUCGCUGAGGACACUGUUAAAAAGGUGGCCAGGAAAAUACUGAUUGAACCGCUUCUAACGGUCUAUUAAGUUAGACAAUUACCCUUAAGUUUGAUCUCAAAUCAGGUAGGACUACCCGCUGAACUUAAGCAUAUCAAUAAGCGGAGGA